rnacentral:lncRNA from 1 species
GGUAUGUAGGUUCGAUCUGGGGGGUUACUCUAUAAGGCGUUACGAAUAGCAAUGCGUUGCGAAAGUUAAUUGCGUUGCGAAGGGCAAUCGAUACUCUGUAACACUUUUGCAUUGUAAGUUGACAUUACUGACCGAAACGAAGAGGAAUGAAAAAAAAAAUCAAUAACAGAAAAGUGAAGAAGUGUAGAAAAUUGGCAGACAAAUAUAAUUAAAUUUGAAGAGUUUUAUAUAUAAGAGUAAUUUGAAAUCAAUAAAAAAGUUGUGAAUAUGCAUUCCGUUGUGUUAUGGGAGAAAAACACAAAAAAUUAACGAGUUGAGCGGAAAAUUAUUAGAGACAGGUCUAAUGUGAUGAGUCUGAGUGAAAAAAGGAAUCAUUCAAAUAUAUGUUGGAUAGCAUAAGUAGUGAGCUAAAAACUCCACGCAGGUCCACAGGAAUACCCGAAAUUGUGAAAUUAGCGGCAACUUUAAAAUUUUUGGCGCAGGGAGGGUAUCAACAGCAAAUUGGACAAGAUCACCAUACAAGACUAGCUCAACAAACUGUUUCGCGUUGUGUGUUUGAAGUUUGUAAAGCAAUUGAGAAAGUGCUGUGUCCAAAACACAUAACUUUUGCAAUGUCUUCAGAGGAGAAAAAUUAAGUGAAAAGAGCUUUUUAUUCAGUGUCUGGAAUUCCAGGAGUAAUUGGAGUGGUGGAUGGGAUGGUUCUCACAUCCGAAAUGAUACGACCGGCAGUGAAUGAGCAUUUAUAUUUCAAUAGGAAAUUAAAGCAUAGUAUAGUGUGAUGAUAAAAGCCGUUAACGUUCGGUUUGCUGGGCCGUAUCAUGAUUCACAUGUGUGGAAUUUCUAAAGCGAGCGCAACAAACCAACUAUGUGAAUGGCGCAAUAGGAAUUCACAUUAUUGGCGACUCUGGAUAUCCGCUUGAGCCAUGACUUUUAACUCCAUACAGAAAUGCUACUGAAAGCUCUGCUGAAAGUUACUACAACUAUAAAUUUUCAAAAGCCAGAUCCCUUACGGAAUUGUAUUUGGAGUAUUAAAAGCGUGGUUCCGAUGCCUUUUAGCUGGUAGAGAACUACAUUAUGCCGCAGAAAAAGUGGUGCAAAUUUUGAACGUAUGUUGUGCUCUUCAUAAUAUUUGCACUCUUUUUAAUGUGGAAUCACCUGCCAAUAUAGUAAUAGAAGUCGAUGCUAGUUAUACUGAAACAAUAGGAAAUGCGAAUGAAACCAAUAUUGCUAAACGUUUAACAGAUCAAAUAAAAAACAAUAUGAUUACUUUAUAAACAUAUAACACUAUUUAAUAAAGUAAACUUUUUAAUUUCUCACAUUUUCACAUUUAUUUUUUUAAAAUUCACAUGAAUGAUAUAAAA